GAUGAACGCUGGCGGCGUGCUUAACACAUGCAAGUCGAACGAGCCUUCGGGCUAGUGGCGGACGGGUGAGUAACGCGUGGGAAUCUGCCCUCAGGAGGGGGAUAACGGUUGGAAACGACCGCUAAUACCCCAUAUGCCGAGAGGUGAAAUGAAUUUCGCCUGAGGAUGAGCCCGCGUCUGAUUAGCUAGUUGGUGGGGUAAUGGCCCACCAAGGCGACGAUCAGUAGCUGGUCUGAGAGGAUGAUCAGCCACACUGGGACUGAGACACGGCCCAGACUCCUACGGGAGGCAGCAGUGGGGAAUUUUCCGCAAUGGGCGAAAGCCUGACGGAGCAACGCCGCGUGAGGGAUGAAGGCCUCUGGGCUGUAAACCUCUUUUCUCAAGGAAGAAGACAUGACGGUACUUGAGGAAUAAGCCACGGCUAAUUCCGUGCCAGCAGCCGCGGUAAUACGGGAGUGGCAAGCGUUAUCCGGAAUUAUUGGGCGUAAAGCGUCCGCAGGCGGCCUUGUAAGUCUGUCGUUAAAGCGUGGAGCUUAACUCCAUUUAAGCGAUGGAAACUACAAGGCUUGAGUGUGGUAGGGGCAGAGGGAAUUCCCGGUGUAGCGGUGAAAUGCGUAGAUAUCGGGAAGAACACCAGUGGCGAAGGCGCUCUGCUGGGCCAUAACUGACGCUCAUGGACGAAAGCCAGGGGAGCGAAAGGGAUUAGAUACCCCUGUAGUCCUGGCCGUAAACGAUGAACACUAGGUGUCGGGGGAAUCGACCCCCUCGGUGUCGUAGCUAACGCGUUAAGUGUUCCGCCUGGGGAGUACGCACGCAAGUGUGAAACUCAAAGGAAUUGACGGGGGCCCGCACAAGCGGUGGAGUAUGUGGUUUAAUUCGAUGCAACGCGAAGAACCUUACCAGGGUUUGACAUCCUGCGAAUCCCUUGGAAACGAGGGAGUGCCUUCGGGAGCGCAGAGACAGGUGGUGCAUGGCUGUCGUCAGCUCGUGUCGUGAGAUGUUGGGUUAAGUCCCGCAACGAGCGCAACCCACGUCUUUAGUUGCCAGCAUUCAGUUGGGCACUCUAGAGAGACCGCCGGUGAUAAACCGGAGGAAGGUGUGGAUGACGUCAAGUCAUCAUGCCCCUUACAUCCUGGGCUACACACGUACUACAAUGCUACGGACAAAGGGUUGCAAGCUCGCGAGAGUUAGCUAAUCCCAUAAACCGUGGCUCAGUUCAGAUCGUAGGCUGCAACUCGCCUACGUGAAGGAGGAAUCGCUAGUAAUCGCAGGUCAGCAUACUGCGGUGAAUACGUUCCCGGGCCUUGUACACACCGCCCGUCACACCAUGGAAGUUGGCCAUGCCCGAAGUCGUUACUCCAACCCUUGUGGAGGAGGACGCCGAAGGUGGGGCUGAUGACUGGGGUGAAGUCGUAACAAGGUAGCCGUACCGGAAGGUGCGGCUGGAUCACCUCCU
rnacentral:rRNA from 1 species